rnacentral:rRNA from 1 species
GACGAACGCUGGCGGCGUGCUUAACACAUGCAAGUCGAACGGAAAGGCCCUGCUUUUGUGGGGUGCUCGAGUGGCGAACGGGUGAGUAACACGUGAGUAACCUGCCCUUGACUUUGGGAUAACUUUAGGAAACUGGGGCUAAUACCGGAUAGGAGCUCCUGCUGCAUGGUGGGGGUUGGAAAGUUUCGGCGGUCGGGGAUGGACUCGCGGCUUAUCAGCUUGUUGGUGGGGUAGUGGCUUACCAAGGCUUUGACGGGUAGCCGGCCUGGGAGGGUGACCGGCCACAUUGGGACUGAGAUACGGCCCAGACUCCUACGGGAGGCAGCAGUGGGGAAUAUUGCACAAUGGGCGGAAGCCUGAUGCAGCAACGCCGCGUGCGGGAUGACGGCCUUCGGGUUGUAAACCGCUUUCGCCUGUGACGAAGCGUGAGUGACGGUAAUGGGUAAAGAAGCACCGGCUAACUACGUG